rnacentral:tRNA from 1 species
UAGCCUUUUAAGCUAGAGAAAGAGGGCUUUCCCCCUCCUUAAUGGU